rnacentral:rRNA from 1 species
UACGGAGGGUGCGAGCGUUAAUCGGAAUUACUGGGCGUAAAGCGCACGUAGGCGGUUAGGUAAGUCGGAUGUGAAAGCCCUGGGCUUAACCUGGGAACUGCAUUCGAUACUGCCUGGCUAGAGUAUGGGAGAGGGAAGCGGAAUUUCCGGUGUAGCGGUGAAAUGCGUAGAUAUCGGAAGGAACACCAAUGGCGAAGGCAGCUUCCUGGCCCAAUACUGACGCUCAGGUGCGAAAGCGUGGGGAUCAAACAGGAUUAGAUACCCUGGUAGUCCACGCUGUAAACGAUGAGAACUAGAUGUUGGGAGGGUUUUGCCUCUCAGUGUCGCAGCUAACGCGCUAAGUUCUCCGCCUGGGGAGUACGGCCGCAAGGUUGAA